GUGCCAGCCGCCGCGGUAAGACGAACCGUCCAAACGUUAUUCGGAAUCACUGGGCUUAAAGGGUGCGUAGGCGGUCCGGUAAGUUGGGUGUGAAAGACCUCGGCCUAACCGAGGAAUGGCGCCCAAAACUGUCGGACUUGAGCAAGGCAGAGGUGAACGGAACUUAGGGUGGAGCGGUGAAAUGCGUUGAUAUCCUAAGGAACACCAGUAGCGAAAGCGGUUCACUGGGCCUUUUCUGACGCUGAUGCACGAAAGCCAGGGGAGCGAACGGGAUUAGAAACCCCCGUAGUCC
rnacentral:rRNA from 1 species